GUAAACACUAUAAAGAGGAAAGUAAAACACACCCUGCUUAUACAGAGAGUCUUUAAUAGCUGAGAGAAGAUUUUGAAAGCGUGUUUGAAAAUGGCCUUGGAGUGUUGAUACCAAUAUGAGGUGUCUACGGGUUCGCCCGUUAUAGCGAUACAGUAUUAACAUUGAUGUUAAAUGGCGUACUGGAUUCUUUACGCACAAUUU
rnacentral:ncRNA from 1 species